UCGGGAAAACAGCCUCCCGGCUCGAUCAGGCGGAUUCCGUCCAAGCGCUG
rnacentral:ncRNA from 1 species